CAGUCGCCGCGGUAAUACAGAGGAUGCAAGCGUUAUCCGCAAUGAUUGGGCGUAAAGCGCGCGCAGGCGGUUCUUUAAGUCUGAUGUGAAAGCCCCCGGCUCAACCGGGGAGGGUCAUUGGAAACUGGGAAACUUGAGUGCAGAAGAAGAGAGUGGAAUUCCACGUGUAGCGGUGAAAUGCGUAGAGAUGUGGAGGAACACCAGUGGCGAAGGCGACUCUCUGGUCUGUAACUGACGCUGAGGAGCGAAAGCGUGGGGAGCGAACAGGAUUAGAUACCCCCGUAGUCCCUGUCUCUUAUAC
rnacentral:rRNA from 1 species